rnacentral:rRNA from 1 species
GACGAACGCUGGCGGCGUGCUUAACACAUGCAAGUCGAACGGUGAAGCGCCUUCCUUUUUGGUGGGUGUGGAUGAGUGGCGAACGGGUGAGUAACACGUGAGUAACCUGCCCCCUUCUUCUGGAUAACCGCAUGAAAGUGUGGCUAAUACGGGAUAUUCUGGGUCUGUCGCAUGAUGGGUCUGGGAAAGAUAUUGUUUCGGUGGGGGAUGGGCUCGCGGCCUAUCAGCUUGUUGGUGGGGUGAUGGCCUACCAAGGCGGUGACGGGUAGCCGGCCUGGGGGGGUGGACGGUCACACGGGGACUGAGACACGGCCCAGACUCCUACGGGAGGCAGCAGUGGGGAAUAUUGCACAAUGGGCGCAAGCCUGAUGCAGCGACGCCGCGGGAGGGAUGGAGGCCUUCGGGUUGUGAACCUCUUUCGCCAGUGAAGCAGGCCUGCCUCGUUUGUGGGUGGGUUGACGGUAGCUGGAUAAGAAGCGCCGGCUAACUACGUG